rnacentral:rRNA from 1 species
GAUGAACGCUGGCGGCGUGCCUAAUACAUGCAAGUCGAGCGAACAGACGAGGAGCUUGCUCCUAUGACGUUAGCGGCGGACGGGUGAGUAACACGUGGAUAACCUACCUAUAAGACUGGGAUAACUUCGGGAAACCGGAGCUAAUACCGGAUAAUAUAUUGAACCGCAUGGUUCAAUAGUGAAAGACGGUUUUGCUGUCACUUAUAGAUGGAUCCGCGCCGCAUUAGCUAGUUGGUAAGGUAACGGCUUACCAAGGCAACGAUGCGUAGCCGACCCGAGAGGGUGAUCGGCCACACGGGAACUGAGACACGGUCCAGACUCCUACGGGAGGCAGCAGUAGGGAAUCUUCCGCAAAGGGCGAAAGCCUGACGGAGCAACGCCGCGUGAGUGAUGAAGGUCUUCGGAUCGUAAAACUCUGUUAUUAGGGAAGAACAAAUGUGUAAGUAACUAUGCACGUCUUGACGGUACCGAAUCAAAAAGCCACGGCUAACUACGUG